rnacentral:rRNA from 1 species
UACAGAGGGUGCUAGCGUUGUUCGGAAUCAUUGGGCGUAAAGGGCGUGUAGGCGGUUUGUUAAGUCAUGUGUGAAAUCCCUCGGCUCAACCGGGGAACGACGCAUGAAACUGGCAAGCUAGAGUACCAAAGAGGGGGGUGGAAUUCCCAGUGUAGCGGUGAAAUGCGUAGAGAUUGGGAAGAACAUCGGUGGCGAAAGCGCUCUACUGGACCUCAUCUGACACUCAGGGACGAAAGCUAGGGGAGCGAAUGGG